ensembl:lncRNA
AACCCUGCCCUGUGACUAAAACAAGAGGCUAUCUUGCCUUUCUUUUUGCUGCUUUCCAGGGCAAUGCAAACACUGUAAUUCCACUUGCAAGCAAGCACUAGCCUGUCCUUUCUUGCUUCUGGAUCAGAUAUAGGCAGAAUCCGAGUUGUGUUAGAUUAUCUCCCACACCCACUACCUGGAAGAAUUUCACAGUUGCUUCUUGUAGCUGUGUAGGGAUCUUGCAAAUCCCAAGUUCUGAGGCAAUUCAGUUUCUUCAGAGGAGACAGUAUAUAAGAAGUAUGGGAGAGAGCGAACCUUCUGCAGCCAUCCUCCAUCCCAUUCGUUUCCCAAGAGAGAUCUCUACACUGGUAGCACCAGAGAGAAAAACUUGUUGGGAGGGCCCUACAGUGCCAACCAGAACAGCACUUUAACUGGCCAAACUGCUGACAAGACACUGCUGUCUUCUGUCAGCAACCAGAAAAGACAAUCAGGACCUGAUGAAGAGAUGUCAUGAUUAAUCUGAUGAGGAAAGAGCAAGACCUGGGGACUAGUGCCUCAUCUAAAGUCUGCUUCACCAGACCAUUAGUGCUGGUGUCAUCGGGGCUCUUAAUGGUUUCCUUUUAUUUAUAUAUAGAAAAUGUAACAUAAUGGUCUGUGGCCGCCAGUGACUCCUUCAACUAGAUUGCAUCCAUUCACCUCCUUUGCUUUAUUCCAUGUUCAGCUGCUCUUUCCUCUCCAUCACAUUGUAUCCUGUGCUCUGCCAGGCUUGUGUUUUAUGGAAGAGAAGAUAUAUGUGUGUGUGUGUAUACGUACGUGUGUAUUUAUGUAUUGUAACUAUUACCAACAUGCUAUACACCUAAAAGCUCCUAGCAAGCUGGAGCCUUCAAGAGGUGCUUGUAGGAAACAACUUCCCCACUAGACAGCAGUUAGUGUGGAUGUUAUCAAAGAAAGCUGCUAGCUUUGGAGGCCUCUUUGCCUGUCUGGAUGCUUUUCUUAUCUUUGGAGCAGGGAGAUGUUUUCAGCAAUACAACUUUCUGAGACCUCAGCUCUGUGCAGUUGUUGUUUGUGUGGUUCAGCUGUUUGGGAUCUUUCCUUUGUACGUGUUUUCCUGAAUGG